rnacentral:lncRNA from 1 species
GCUGGAACGAGACCUGCCGCAUGACUCCCAGGCACGGCGUGUCCAUGCCAAAUCAGCCCUGCAAAUCUGCCAUGGAGGAAGACGUUAAUGUUGAGCUUGCAUCAGCCCUGCGUAUUGGUCUGAGCCAAGGUCUGUAAGGGCAGCUUCAUGGGGUGUGCACCACUUUCAUAUGGAUCUUCCCUCAAGUCACACAACGCUUCAGAAGUAAAGGCAGAAAUGCACGCAAUUCUGAACAUAAUCACAGAAAACAAUGUCUGGUUUAGACUCUGUGGAUUCCAGCUGGAGCUGUUUUUAGCAGCAGAUAGAGGUUUUGAUGGACGAAACCAGACACAAAAACAAUCACUACCAGCUGAACAUUUUAAGAGGUGA